AGGUCACUGCUAUCGGUGUUCGAUUAAGCCAUGCGAGUCGUGAGGGGUAAAGCCCUCGGCGGAGUGCUCAGUAACACGUGGACAACCUACCCAAGAGUCAGGGAUAACCCCGGGAAACUGGGGAUAAUACCUGAUAGGCCAUGACAUCUGGAAUCGAGUUGUGGUUUAAACGUAAGGCUCUUGGAUGGGUCUGCGGCGGAUUAGGUUGUUGCCGGUGUAACGUACCAGCAAGCCUGUAAUCCGUACGGGUUGUGGGAGCAAGAGCCCGGAGAUGGAUUCUGAGACACGAAUCCAGGCCCUACGGGGCGCAGCAGGCGCGAAAACUCUACAAUGCAGGCAACUGCGAUAGGGGAACAUCGAGUGGCAUCCACCAUGGAUGUCUGUCCAAUCGUCUAAAAAACGAUUGUCAGCAAGGGCCGGACAAGACCGGUGCCAGCCGCCGCGGUAAUACCGGCGGCUCGAGUGGUGGCCGAUAUUAUUGAGUCUAAAGGGUCCGUAGCCGGCUUUGCAAGUCCUAUGGGAAAUCCAGCGGCUUAACCGUUGGGCUUUCAUGGGAUACUACAUUGCUUGGGACUGGGAGAGGUAGGAGGUACUCAGGGGGUAGGGGUGAAAUCCUGUAAUCCUUUGGGGACCACCGGUGGCGAAGGCGUCCUACCAGAACAGGUCCGACGGUGAGGGACGAAAGCUAGGGGCACGAACCGGAUUAGUUACCCGGGUAGUCCUAGCCGUAAACGAUGCUCGCUAGGUGUCACGGCAGUCGUGAAUUGUCGUGGUGCAGUAGGGAAGCCGUGAAGCGAGCCACUUGGGAAGUACGACCGCAAGGUUGAAACUUAA
rnacentral:rRNA from 1 species